UCCUGAGUAGCUGGGACUAUAGGCACGCACCAUCAUGCCUAACUAAUCAAUGUUGAGUGUAUAAAUUGUGCUGGAGUGUAGGUGGUUCAGAUGUUUCCACCUGCAUAUUGACCCCAGUUUGGGCUAUGAGAGCUGAAGUUUUCUCUAGAGAUUUGUUUUGUUUUGAUUACUUCUGUCUUAAUAGCUUUAUCAGUGCAAUUUUCUGAUUUAGGUUUCUGUGCUGAUCCCUCUUUUGGAGAAUGGAGAGCUUUUGAUUCCGGGCAGAGGUGACUAUCUGAAAGUGGCAUCUGGAUUUCAGUUUUUUGCAACCAGGAGACUCUUGAGCUGUGGAGGAAAUUGGUAUAGACCGCUAAAUAGUCAUGCUACUUUGCUAGACAAAUAUUGGACCAAAAUUCACCUGAAUAAUCUGGAUAAGAGAGAACUGAAUGAGAUGGCCUGUGUUCUCCAC